GCAUCGCGACCCCAGGUCAGGCGGGAUUACCCACUGAGUU
rnacentral:rRNA from 1 species